rnacentral:lncRNA from 1 species
CUAUUUAAAGUAGUUUUUAACUAUCUACAAUGGUUCGCCAGUGCAUAGUUUGUGAAAGGUGGACUAUUCUAACUCCUGAUUGAUAUUUGGACGCGUUCCUAUAAAUACUGAACUUAGACAAUGAUCGAUUUCACUCUUGAAUUUGAAAAAUCAAACUAACGUGUGUCCAAAUUUGUUCUGAUGAUUUUGAUAAGAGCAAUAUUAUGAUCGCCGAAUUAACUGAUCGAAGGCAAAUAAGACCAAAUUCUGAGCCUCAAAUAGAUAGUACCAUUUUUGUUGGGGCUUUAUCAUACAGUUUGUACCGCCACCCAAAAAAUGUUUUAGGAAAAUGAACCUCCAGACCAGCUGAGGGACUAGAGAAGGUCCCUACCUAGUCCCGCGUUUGGCAGUUUGGCUGGCCCCUCAAAUUUGAUUUUGCCUAAAAUCAUACAAGAUAAACUAGCCCUUCUCAAGAAGCCCUACCCUCAAAACAACAGAAACGGCAUUGGAAAAAGAAGUUGGAAUUAACCAGUAUGUGCUCUUUCAUAGUAAGACAAUCCUCAUCUUCUGAUCUCUCAAUAGUUGGAUAUUUAUUAUCUCAAGAAAGUCGUCAAAGUAUCAGAAAAAGAAAGAAGUAUGUUAAUGAGGCAUUAUAAUGAUAUUAUGUAGAAAUUUAAGUCUUGUAAAAAUUUGGAAA